rnacentral:tRNA from 1 species
UUUGGCUCAGUGGUAAAAGACCUGCCUAGCAUGCAGGAGGCCCUGGGUUCAAUCCCCAGCACAAAA